UCAUACAACGAGAGGUUCUCGGGGCUGUCGCUGACCUUUCAACGGGUCGUGCACGCCCUGGGCACUCUCACACAUCCAUCUCACCCCUUUGUGCAUCACCGCGUGGGUCCUCCUUUGCAAGAGGGCUCGCGUUUUCACACAAAAACACCCUUUUAAUGCAGUGUAGAAUGUUCUUGCGAUGACUCGCAAUAAAUA
rnacentral:misc_RNA from 1 species